rnacentral:misc_RNA from 1 species
GGUCAUGGAAGAGGCCGUCAUUCUGGAGGACGUGGUGGUCGAGGUAAUGGUGGUCACCAAAACGGCCGGGGUGAUGGGCAAACUGUAGCCACUACAGCACAACAUGGUAGGGGCAACGGACAAACAGGUGACAGGGCCCAUUGUUACGCCUUCCCUGGGCAGUCUGAAGCGGAGACAUCGGAUGUUGUUAUCACAGCAAACGUACCGUCGUCUUCAACU